AUGAUCCGGGAUUUCUGGUGGGGGGAUGAAACGGGCCGCCGCAAAGUUCACUGGAUGUCAUGGGAGCGUAUGACGAGGCCAAAGAGAGCGGGUGGUAUUGGUUUUAGAGACAUGCACGUGUUCAAUUUAGCCCUUCUUGCCAAACAAGGGUGGAGGCUGAUUCAGAACCCGGAGAGUCUAUGUGCCCGGGUGCUCAAGUCUAAAUAUUACCCAAACGGCAACCUGUUGAACACCGUCUUUGCGUCGGAUGCGUCGCCUGUGUGGAGAGGUAUUGAAGCAGGGCUGGAGUUGCUGAAAAAGGGCGUCAUCUGGAGAGUGGGCAAUGGAAGAGAUAUUCAGAUCCAACGGGACCAGUGGUUACCAAGGAAAGAGGGUCUGAUGACCGCGGCAUUCAUAAGAAGAUCACGUCUUCGGUGGGUGAACCAACUUGCUGCCUGA
rnacentral:rRNA from 1 species